GUUCAUGUUAUUUAACAAGAGCUUCCUGUGAACUUAAAGCUGGAUUCACAGCUGGCAGCAACGGGCCUCCUGUUUCUCACAUCAUCUAACUUUCUCUUUCAUUUUUGUGCUACAUAACUCCUUUUCCUGCUUUAUUUUUGCUAGCUCAUUCAUUUAUUCAAGCAUGUGUUCAGAGUUUUUUGUGUUAGGAACUGAAGAAUUAAUAUACUCUGAACUUGGAGAGCUGUUGGCUUGGAAUGGAGAAGAAAGACAACAGUGAUGAUAGUUUACCACAGUAAAUUCUCAUAGAAAUGAAUACAGAGAGGAGUGACAGAUAUAGAGGGAGGAUGCCAUGACAAUACCUCAAUGCAAAAGUUUUUGAGGGGCAUCUCACAGGCACAGGAUUUUAGUCCAAUGAAUUGGUCAAAGUAAUGUCAAGAAACAAACCACCCUAAUUAUUUUAACAUAAUUAAUAUAAAGAUUUGAUUAUUCAGCAACUGAAAAUGCCACAGAAUUCAAUGUAUCACGUGAUGACAACUGCAGGAAGCAGCCAUGAUGUCUAAAGUGAGAGGGACAAAAGGAAGAUGUUGGGAAUAUUACAAUUUAGAUGUUUAGAGAAGGGCUUUGUGGAAGAAAAACUCAGAUCACUGAGGAGAAAGCAGCAUCCACUUGUAAUGAUGUCUCAAACAGGAGUUGAAAGUGGGGAAACUGCAAACCAGAUCCAACUUCACUAUGGGAAGAUGUGUACCUCUCCCUCUAAGAGCUUCAAAUCUCUCUUCAGCCUGGGGAUGAGAAUCAGACACAUGGGCUAGAGCUGAACUUGGUCUGCAUCUUGAAGCAGAGAAGCUCCAUCAUCAAGAGAGUCAUUCCCUGGGGAAGCUGAAUGCGGUCAGAAAGGGGGCCAUUCACUCCUGUCACACCCCACAUAGUGAAGACCAUUGUGCUAAAAUAUUUGUUGAAAACUUUUAAGAUCAGAGUCAUGCCAAUCAGGGCAGCCCCAGCCAACUUACCAAUCCAUGAAUGAGAAAUA
rnacentral:lncRNA from 1 species